rnacentral:rRNA from 4 species
GCAUAUCAAUAAGCGGAGGAAAAGAAACCAACAGGGAUUGCCUCAGUAACGGCGAGUGAAGCGGCAAGAGCUCAAAUUUGAAAGCUGGCUCCUUCGGGGUCCGCAUUGUAAUUUGCAGAGGAUGCUUCGGGAGCGGCCCCCAUCUAAGUGCCCUGGAACGGGCCGUCAUAGAGGGUGAAAAUCCCGUCUGGGAUGGGGUGUCCGCGCCCGUGUGAAGCUCCUUCGACGAGUCGAGUUGUUUGGGAAUGCAGCUCUAAAUGGGUGGUAAAUUUCAUCUAAAGCUAAAUAUUGGCCGGAGACCGAUAGCGCACAAGUAGAGUGAUCGAAAGAUGAAAAGCACUUUGAAAAGAGAGUUAAACAGCACGUGAAAUUGUUGAAAGGGAAGCGCUUGCGACCAGACUCGCCCACGGGGUUCAGCCGGCAUUCGUGCCGGUGUACUUCCCCGCGGGCGGGCCAGCGUCGGUUUGGGCGGCCGGUCAAAGGCCCUCGGAAUGUAACGCCCCCCGGGGCGUCUUAUAGCCGAGGGUGCCAUGCGGCCAGCCCAGACCGAGGAACGCGCUUCGGCUCGGACGCUGGCAUAAUGGUCGUAAGCGACCCGUCUUGAAACACGGACC